GUUGUCGUGGCCGAGUGGUUAAGGCGAUGAACUAGAAAUCAAUUGGGUUUUCCCCGCGCAGGUUCAAAUCCUGCCGAUAACG
rnacentral:tRNA from 1 species